GACGAACGCUGGCGGCGUGCCUAAUACAUGCAAGUUGAGCGAUGAAGAUUGGUGCUUGCACCAAUUUGAAGAGCAGCGAGCGGGUGAGUAACGCGUGGGGAAUCUGCCUUUGAGCGGGGGACAACAUUUGGAAACGAAUGCUAAUACCGCAUAACAACUUUAAACAUAAGUUUUAAGUUUGAAAGAUGCAAUUGCAUCACUCAAAGAUGAUCCCGCGUUGUAUUAGCUAGUUGGUGAGGUAAAGGCUCACCAAGGCGAUGAUACAUAGCCGACCUGAGAGGGUGAUCGGCCACAUUGGGACUGAGACACGGCCCAAACUCCUACGGGAGGCAGCAGUAGGGAAUCUUCGGCAAUGGACGAAAGUCUGACCGAGCAACGCCGCGUGAGUGAUGAAGGUUUUCGGAUCGUAAAACUCUGUUGGUAGAGAAGAACGUUGGUGAGAGUGGAAAGCUCAUCAAGUGACGGUAACUACCCAGAAAGGGACGGCUAACUACGUG
rnacentral:rRNA from 1 species